UAUAAAAACCAUUCAUAUUUGGUUGUAGUCAUAUAUCACCAUAUAUUUGCCUUCUGACAUUAGAUUUCUAACAAAUUAUUUAUGAUUAACUACAGAUACAUGCACGAGUUGUUGUUUUUUUUGGGGAAUUUGACGUUCAAAUUUUGAAAUUGACCAUUCAUUGACAGCUGAAAACAGGUUAUCUAGCUAUAGGUCUAUAGCAAUCCUACAAUCAUGUGGGUAUAGCAAUCCUAUAAUGAUUAAGAAGAGCAUUCAUUCGACAAUAAAAAACCAUUCUUACGUGAUCGAAUCAGCUGUACAUGAAAACGUACGCCCUUAUCACGUUUUUUAAAGAACCCUAAACAACUUCAUUUAACAUUCAUCUAACCUCGAAUCUAUCUGUGUGUCAAAUAUAGGUAUAUUUAUAUUAUAUUUGUUUUUGUUACGAUAAAUGUACAUAGUAUUAUUUGCUUUAGAUUAUAUAAGAAACUAUGUGUCCUAACAAUUUUAUCCUUAUUAGUAGUACAAUAAAGAUGUAAAAAAAAAUGUAUAUUUCGUUUACCUCAUUGAUAUCAUUUCAUAUGAUUGUUUAAUUAAUUAACGGUUGCAUCGGUCGAUAGAAGCUUCCCUUGUCAAGGAUUGUAUGUCUAUUACUUAUACUAGUACAAAUUGAACUCCAAGAACAUGAAUGUCAAAAAAUACACAUGUACAAACUAUUUUUGUAUUUUAUCUAAUUAUAUAUUAUAAAUUUUGUAUUUCAUGAUAUUUAAAGAUAUUUCAUAUC
rnacentral:sRNA from 1 species